ACUACUUUAUUGAUUUAAAAUAGUCUAAAUCUUCUCAUCAGCUUAACACCUGAUAUGUUCCCUAUUUGGACCCAAGAUACUAGUAUAUACCGUAACUUUAUUUUUGGAAUGAGGCAAAGUGCUUGAAGCUUGCUUCACCAUUGCCACAAGUUGGCCCACUACUGCAUCACCUCAGAGAUUGCCCCACUUUCC
rnacentral:snRNA from 1 species